UCGGACGUGGUGCACGGUGCACGCCCGCUGUAAAUCUCAGUCUGCCAGCUUCAUUGAAUUCACCAAGCGGGAAGCCUGGGUUCGACUCCCAGCGUCCGAG